GUUUGGUAUAUGAGUUUAAGUUUACUUCCUAUAUUCCUGUUUGAAAGAUGAAAAUUGCCAACAUCUGCAUGCAAUAGGUGGGUUGUAGAUAGGUGUUUUGGUUCUAGUUUACUUCGACAGAUCCGAUCUUUAACAAGAGAGCACAAUUUGUAGAUCCGCUUCUUGUUAUUUUGUGUGUGACCUGUUUUUGGUUUUUCUUAGUGCUAGUUUGUUGUGAUCUGUGUUAGUCUCGCAGGUAUCUAGAUUUUUUGAUGCAUAAUGUGAGGAGAAACUAUGGUGGUGGAUUGUGAGGUGUAGACUAGGAGGCUGGCCUGGAAGGCGCGAGUGGGAGGCUAGAAAACACCAUUAAAGUUUUGUCUUUUAAGUUUAUGAUUUUAUUGCAUCCACCCGAAGAUAUGAAGGUUCGACUUCUGGUUGGUAUGCCUGGGGUCUCUUAGGAUUUGUCUAUGAUGAGAAGAUCCUCUGAGCAUGGUCAAGUACCAAUACCUUGCAUAGGUGCCAUUUUUGCUUUGAUAACGCAUUUUCUGUGCUUCUCUGUGUGUUAAGUUAUAUUCCGAGGGCUGAAAGGUUGGCUUAGAGAUGGUGCGACGCUGUAAGUUUUUGCACAAGGUUUUGCCAGGUCGUGGUUAGUCGAGUCGAACCACUCAAUGUUGCCCUAGGUUUGAUUUAGGCUCUGGCUUUCUUAUGAAUUUUGGGUAUAUUUGAUCAGUUGAUGUGGAAUUUUCUUGUAUUUGGCCCAAGG
rnacentral:misc_RNA from 1 species